rnacentral:rRNA from 1 species
UACGUAGGGUGCGAGCGUUGUCCGGAAUUAUUGGGCGUAAAGAGCUUGUAGGCGGUCUGUCGCGUCUGCUGUGAAAAUCCGGGGCUCAACCCCGGACUUGCAGUGGGUACGGGCAGACUAGAGUGUGGUAGGGGAGACUGGAAUUCCUGGUGUAGCGGUGAAAUGCGCAGAUAUCAGGAGGAACACCCGUGGCUAAGGCGGCUCUCUAGUACGGUACUGACGCUGAGACGCGAAAGCGUGGGGAGCGAACAGG